rnacentral:misc_RNA from 1 species
UUGAAUGGUCUUUGACCUUCUACCCUUAAAACAUGUGGAAGCAAAUAUCGUGCUUCGGCCUCCCUUUCGGGUGGCCGCUUUUAUGCAGAAACUUGUAUGUCGUCUGAAUGAGAACAUUACAAUCA